rnacentral:lncRNA from 1 species
CGCUGGGGGCCGUGGCCGCCACGUGGCUGCUGCUGCGCGCGACGUGGGGGGUGGGCGGCGCCGUCUACGUCUACCUGCUGCCCCAGGUGCGCCGCGGCGACCCAUGGCUCCGGUCGCAGGGGGCCUGGGCAGGACAAUGUGCAGCACACAGUCAGGGCACAGUCAAUGUUGUUUAAAUUGUUGAGUACAAGAACGAGGGAAGGAAUCCCUGCAGCUUGCCCAGAGAGGCCUGAACAUCGUGCUCAUCAGUAGAAACCUGAGCAAGUUGGAGCAAGAAGCUGAGGAGAUAGGUGAGCUCCAGGGCAGUGGCUGGGGCAGCGGGGGGGAACUGGCAGGGGAGGGAGCGAGGGCUGGGGGGUCUCAGGCCCAGG